AUUGAACGCUGGCGGCAGGCCUAACACAUGCAAGUCGAGCGGAGAUGAGGUGCUUGCACCUUAUCUUAGCGGCGGACGGGUGAGUAAUGCUUAGGAAUCUGCCUAUUAGUGGGGGACAACAUUCCGAAAGGAAUGCUAAUACCGCAUACGUCCUACGGGAGAAAGCAGGGGAUCUUCGGACCUUGCGCUAAUAGAUGAGCCUAAGUCGGAUUAGCAAGUGGGUGGGGUAAAGGCCUCCCUAGGCGACGAUCUGUAGCGGGUCUGAGAGGAUGAGCCGCCACACUGGGACUGAGACACGGCCCAGACUCCUACGGGAGGCAGCAGUGGGGAAUAUUGGACAAUGGGGGGAACCCUGAUCCAGCCAUGCCGCGUGUGUGAAGAAGGCCUUAUGGUUGUAAGCACUUUAAGCGAGGAGGAGGCUACUGAGACUAAUACUCUUGGAUAGUGGACGUUACUCGCAGAAUAAGCACCGGCUAACUCUGUGCCAGCCGCCGCCGUAAUAC
rnacentral:rRNA from 1 species